GUCUAGGCCACACCACCCUGAACAGCGCCCGCUCGCCUCUGAUCUGUUGAAGCUAAGCAGGGUAGGGCCUGGUUAGUACUUGGAUGGGAUUCCGCCUGGUAAUAGCGGGUACCAUAGGCU
ensembl:rRNA 5S_rRNA 5S ribosomal RNA